GUGGGGAUUUGGACCGUUUACAAGAUAAUAGGAUAUUCUCAAUUUAAAGGGGGUGGGAAUGACCCCCAGGGAUUCCCCCUUUAUUUAUGUGAUUUGUUUUAUUGUCCUAUGAUCAUUUCUGAAGACUGUGUGUGUUUAUCACUUAAAGUUUUCAAGUUCAUGGGGGUUUUUAGUGCGCAACAACAAUUUGAAAGGUUACAAUUUUUAGCAAAGUAUUUUGCACGAUCUGGAUUGUCUAGAAAAAGUGUCAUAUUUGAUGAUGAAACUUACAUGCCUUUUUCUUAAGUCUGUUUGCAUUAUUUUAGUUGUUAAAUCCGUAGAAAGGAUGAACAUGUAGCUAGCAGACCAGGGUUUAUUUUC
rnacentral:lncRNA from 1 species